rnacentral:rRNA from 1 species
AUUGAACGCUGGCGGCAGGCCUAACACAUGCAAGUCGAACGGUAGCACAGAGAGCUUGCUCUCGGGUGACGAGUGGCGGACGGGUGAGUAACGUCUGGGAAACUGCCCGAUGGAGGGGGAUAACUACUGGAAACGGUAGCUAAUACCGCAUAACGUCGCAAGACCAAAGUGGGGGACCUUCGGGCCUCACACCAUCGGAUGUGCCCAGAUGGGAUUAGCUAGUAGGUGGGGUAAUGGCUCACCUAGGCGACGAUCCCUAGCUGGUCUGAGAGGCUGACCAGCCACACUGGAACUGAGACACGGUACAGACUCCUACGGGAGGCAGCAGUGGGGAAUAUUGCACAAUGGGCGCAAGCCUGAUGCAGCCAUGCCGCGGGUAUGAAGAAGGCCUUCGGGUUGUAAAGUACUUUCAGCGGGGAGGAAGGCGGUGAAGUUAAUAACUUCACCGAUUGACGUUACCCGCAGAAGAAGCACCGGCUAACUCCGUGCCAGCAGCCGCCGCGG